AUUCUACUCCCUCCGUUGCACAAUACAUGCCUUCUAUUUGUCAAAAUAUAUAUGUAUCUAGACAUGUUUUAGUAUAUAGGUACAUCCAUUUUUGAACAAAUGGAAGUCAAGUAUUUUGGAACGGAGGGAGUACACA
rnacentral:pre_miRNA from 1 species